GGCCCUUGAGGCCGUCUAAGGCCUUUGCACCCGCACUCCGGAGGCAGUCAGCCUGGGGUCCCCCGCCCCAUCCUCUAGACAGCCCCGGAAAGGAGAGGGCGAGAUGUGAAACUCAGGCGGACUGCCCUCCGCAGCCCCUGGGACCCUGACCGCCUCACCCCUGCCCGGCCGUGUCUCCCAGCACGGGGCAGCUCGCCGCCUGCAGCUCCCUGGGCUCCUGCAGCUCCCUGGGCUCCUGCAGCUCCCUGGGCUCCUGCAGCUCCCUGGGCUCGGAACACCUUUCCCUUCCCUGCCUGGGACCAGCGCUUUCCAAAAGCCCACGGAGUCACCUCCUGGAAGGCCCGCGGAUGCCCGGCCAGCAACUCUACAGGGAGACCCCCGCGCUCUCCUGAUGAGGCAGGCCCUGUUAUUAUCCCUGCAUCAUCAAUGAGGAAACUGAGGCAGAAAGAUGCAGUCACUUGCUCGAGGUCACAUGCCCACCGUGUCAACCAUCACAGCUGAUGUGCAACACAUGCAUCGAGGAGUGGCCGGCACCUCCGGGGUCACGGGUCAAGAUGGUCUAUGAAGAGACAGCCGUUGGCAGAAUGGGCCAGAGAAUCCGGAAACAGCACCGACUGGCCCUGCCUGGGGGAGUUCGGCGUCUCCAAACCCUGGGCCCAGUUCACUGCCACCGAGUGGCUGCACCCCUGGGGGCAGCUACACAGAACCCCUUCCGAGUAUGCCGAGCGAUGUACGUGAGAUUGUUCAUGGUGGCCCCUUCUCUUCUCCUUGCCUGAUGUACUGGGGCCCAUCUCAAUGUCACCCAUCGAUAGAGAACUAGUUCAGGUAACUGAGGCAAUUGCCAAGUGACAAACAGACCCCUCUGUCGUGUGCUUUGAAAAGGGGCGCAAAGGGUGGACAGAAUGAGAUGGUAAAAGACAUCAUCACGCUGCCCAGGAUGCCAUGCAAUUUAAAACAUGAAUUUUCUAUUUCUGGGAUUUCACAUUUAGUAUUUUCAGACCCCAUUUGACCCCGGGUAACUGAAACUAUGGACCACAAAACCACAGAUGGGGGGGCGCAGGGGACUCCUGUACAUUGUUUCAUGAAAGGUAAAGACGCAGCAGGACAGGACGCGGGGCGCACGCCUGCGAUCCAGCACUCGGGAGGCUGAGGCAGCAGGAGCACAAGUUCCAGCCCAACCCAGGCAACAGCAACUUAGUGAGACCCUGUCUUACAAUGAAAGGCGGGGAGGGGCUGGGGACGUGCCUCAGCGUGAAGGACAUGUGUUCAAUCCCCAACACUCUUUACAAAUUUUAAGAAAGCAAACUACUAGCAUUUGUGUACAAAACAGCUGCAGCGACUACGGGAGUACGUUUGCUUCUAGACUCGUGAGAACCCUGGGUAACCAGAGACACCAGGGUGCCGUGGACAGGGACUUGAUGGCCAGGGACCGGGUGGGAGGUUUUCUGUGUCCGGAGGUUUGUUCCAGGGCCUCUCCAUACCAAGUCCUUUAAUGAAAUGGCUGUGUAUUUGCCCAUACGCGCACGCAUCCUCCCAUGAGGCGGAGCAACUUUGAGUCAUUUCCAGAUGACUUACAGUGCCUCAGACAAGGCAAGUGCUAAGUACUUGUUACUCAGUAUUGACACAGGAAAGCGACUGGAUGUGCUCAGAACAGACGAAAAAAAUUCGUUCAGGAUUUUCAACCACAGAUGCAGAGCCCAGGAGUGGGACGGCAGCUGUACCACCCUGCAACGCCUUUGGGGUCUUGAAUCACAGCAGCGGACUCUUUUUUCUUUUCUUUGAAAAUUUUGUUAUUCUAUGUACUGACCAUUUAAAACACAUUUAAUUUUUAAUUUUAGAACUUUGCAAAUAGCCAGGCACUGUGGCACUUGUC
ensembl:lncRNA